GCGAAGGCGUCAUUAACGAGACAGAAGAGCUGACGGUCGAGUCAGAGAAUGUUUGUCUAACAUUUGACUCAGAGUCCUGGAAAAGUCCUGGAAAGUCCUGGAAGUGUUGUGAAAUGUGAGUGCUCCCUGCUCUCUGUCUGUCAGGUGAUUCCAGCCUGGAACAUUUCUCCCAUCAAGAAGACGAGCGACGCCAACAAGGCUCCUCAGUUUGUGGACAUCCCUCUGGCUGAUGAAGACUCCUCUGAUGAAGAGUACCGUCCUGAUGAGGACGAGGAGGACGAGACGGCUGAGGACACCUUCCAGGAGAGCGACAUGGAGAGCGCGGCGUCGUCCCCCAGAGGAAGUCGUGUGAGCAGAGUGGACGAGGACAGCUGCAGCCCCUGGCAGGUAACCGAAGCCCCGCCCCCUCUGUGACAUCACAGCAUAGGUGAAACUCUA